rnacentral:rRNA from 1 species
GUGCCAGCAGCCGCGGUAAUACCGGCGGCUCGAGUGGUGGCCGAUAUUAUUGAGUCUAAAGGGUCCGUAGCCGGCUUAGUAAGUCUUUUGGGAAAUCCAGCGGCUUAAUCGUUGGGCGUCCAUGAGAUACUGCUUUGCUUGGGACUGGGAGAGGUAGGAGGUACUCAAGGGGUAGGAGUGAAAUCCUGUAAUCCUUUGGGGACCACCGGUGGCGAAGGCGUCCUACCAGAACAGGUCCGACGGUGAGGGACGAAAGCUAGGGGCACGAACCGGAUUAGAUACCCGGGUAGUCCUAGCCGUAAACGAUGCUCGCUAGGUGUCACGGCAGUCGUGAAUUGCCGUGGUGCCGUAGGGAAGCCGUGAAGCGAGCCACUUGGGAAGUACGACCGCAAGGUUGAA